rnacentral:rRNA from 1 species
UGGGGGAUAUUGCACAAUGGGCGAAAGCCUGAUGCAGCGACGCCGCGUGGGGGAUGAAGGCCUUCGGGUUGUAAACUUCUUUUGCUCUGAACAAGGCAUGCCUAUGGGGUGUGUUGAGUGUAGGGGUUGAUUAGCGCCGGCUAACUACGUGCCAGCAGCCGCGGUAAUACGUAGGGCGCGAGCGUUGUCCGGAAUUAUUGGGCGUAAAGGGCUUGUAGGUGGCUGGUUGCGUCUGUCGUGAAAGCUCAUGGCUUAACUGUGGGUUUGCGGUGGGGACGGGCUGGCUUGAGUGCAGUAGGGGAGGCUGGAAUUCCUGGUGUAGAGGUGGAAUGCGCAGAUAUCAGGAGGAAUACCGGUGGCGAAGGCGGGUCUCUGGGCUGUUACUGACGCUGAGGAGCGAAAGCGUGGGGAGCGAACAGG